AUGCCCUACCUGUGAUGAAGCCCGUGUUGGUAGGGACAUCUGAGAGUGCUGAUGAAUGCCAACGCCUCUGAUGGCAGAGC
rnacentral:snoRNA from 1 species